CGCCCGCCUCCCCCUGUCUCUUUCCAUCUCCCGGUCUCCGCGGCGUUUCUCUGCCUCCUUCCUCGCCUCUCCCGGCCUCUCUGGCUGUCCCCGGCUCUCUUCCUCACUGCCUCUCUCUUUUUCUCUUACCCCUCUCUCCUCGGCUGCUCUCACCACUUCCUCCCUCCCUCUCCGGCUUCCUUCUACCUCCCCUCACUCUCCCCCCUUUCUCGCCUUGCUCAGGGGGACUCGCUAUCUCUUUCUCUGUCUCUCCUUGGAACAGCGGCCCCCAAAAUGCAACUGAAGCCAUUUCCCUGCUCUGAGACCUCGGACAAGUCACUCCCCGCCAGGGCUGCAGUUUCCUGUCUCUAAAAGGAGUUGAUGAGCAGCUCUAGCUUCAGGGAUGUUUCCCGGACCGAGUGUGGCUUCAGAGUCAGAGAGAUGUGAGUUCAAGACCACUUGCUUAGGUGGCUUUUGUGGACAAGAUGCGACCACCUCAUGAGGAUCAAGAUGUACUCCUUGCUCUUCUCUGCACAGCAGUCUCAAAACUAGGCUACACCGUCUGUCUCCUCUGGUCACCAUUUUGAGAGGCAGCAAGGGUCUUCCUAACCCUCAGCUCCCUCUGAUUUUUGGAAUUCAGAUUUGGAUUUUGGAUGUACAUCAAGAGGCUGGCUCCACGCAUUUUAAUUAAGUUGUCUUUUUUCAUUUAUUACUAAUACACUCCUCUUAACUAUGAUUUAUUGGUUAAACAAAGCACCAUAAGCCGUCACUUAUUCAUCUUAAUUUCAACAAAAUUAAAGUAGUCGCUGUUAGAUUGCACCUAAUUGCACUUGCAAUGAAAAGAACGGAGAUGUUAAUCAAAAUAAAUUGAAGAUAAACAAUAAAAUCAUUACAUCUUUGCGGU
rnacentral:lncRNA from 10 species